UUCCACAAUAGUCUAUCUUCAGAAAAGAAAAGGUGAGGUUCGUAGCUGAAAAUUGCUGCAGUACUACUUUAGUUCACAGAAUAUCCGGAUCCUUGGAUACAGUGUCCAACAUGCAUAGCAUAGUUGCUGGUGUGAUGCAACAAGGAUAAACCCAGAACAUGGAAGUAUACCUCCCAUUCUGAUUGUGGAGCUGUGUGCAUUGAACUGCCAACCAAUUGCGAGGCGGGAUGAUCCUAUCAAAAAAUAAAAUAGAAUUGCGAGACGGGAUGGAGAAAGAUCUCACAUGGCGUCUGGCGCAGCAAGUGGCCUAGCUAGUACUCUAGAUAAGUGGGGAAACCAUGAGAAAAUGGGAUGGACUAGUAUCAUGCAUGCAUAUGGGCACACCAUUGUCCAAACCUUUAUUUAUUUAUUUAUUUAUGACUAGAACUUGCAGCAAAAAGGUGCACCACGAA